CUUUUUUCCACAACUGAUCCACGCAGGGUCGGUUUCAGUCCAGUCUCUGCUGUUUAUAUGGCGAUAACCAUACAGCAAUAUUCUGAGGAGGUGGAGUUCUUCAUCUGUGAUUAAUUCCCAUAUCCUGAACAGUAAUCUGAACAUUGCACAGAAUCACAAACAAAGUGUUGCUAACCUGCUCUUCCGGACAUCUGAAUUCUGCUGCAUCAAUCACAGGACUGGGUACCUCAGCACAUGUGUUCUGGCAUCCCUGGCAGUCGAUCCCAUGACCUUGGUGGUGCUAGCUCUAUGCUCUGCCAGUCAAGCUGCAGGUUAUGUACAAUAUCACACAUCUUGGCCUUCAAUCAGCUGUUCUGGGUUAUGGUAAUCUCA